rnacentral:rRNA from 1 species
UGGGGAAUUUUGGACAAUGGGCGAAAGCCUGAUCCAGCAAUGCCGCGUGUGUGAAGAAGGCCUUCGGGUUGUAAAGCACUUUUGUCCGGAAAGAAAUCCUUGGCUCUAAUACAGUCGGGGGAUGACGGUACCGGAAGAAUAAGCACCGGCUAACUACGUGCCAGCAGCCGCGGUAAUACGUAGGGUGCAAGCGUUAAUCGGAAUUACUGGGCGUAAAGCGUGCGCAGGCGGUUUGCUAAGACCGAUGUGAAAUCCCCGGGCUAACCUGGGAACUCAUUGGUGACUGGCAGGCUAGAGUAUGGCAGAGGGGUAGAAUUGCCACGUGUAGCAGUGAAAUGCGUAGAGAUGUGGAGGAAUACCGAUGGNGAAGCAGCCCCCUGGGCCAAUACUGACGCUCAUGCACGAAAGCGUGGGGAGCAAACAGGAUU